UGCUGUGUUGUUAUUGUUGCCUGCGGGAAUCGCCUUUCUGCGCUCUGCCUUGUUUGUGCCUCUGGGGCUUCCGUAGCCCUGCUGAGGGAUGUAUUUGACUCUCUGACUGAAUCAGAUUCUGGAAAGAAACAACAAUCUUGGUGAUAUCAUCGAAUUAAAGCAGAAAUUCAGAGAAAAGCACAGUUCUCCUGCUCGUGUUUAUGCAUUCGCUUCGACUCCACAGCAGGGAGUUUUUAUCAAUAUUGAUUUUUUUAAGCAUUUUCUCUUAAAUGAAAAUUCCCCUUGAAACUUA